GUUAUGGAAUUAUUUUUGAUGUUAAGUUAGUUAUCUUACCCAGUAAACGACCUGUUGCUCGCCAUGAUACAACCUCGCUCGCUCUUCUGUCAG